rnacentral:rRNA from 1 species
AACAGCUCAAUUGAAAUCGGCGUCAGCCCGAGUUGUAAUUUGUAGAGGAUGCUUCCGGGCACGGCCGGUCUAAGUUCCUUGGAACAGGACGUCACAGAGGGUGAGAAUCCCGUACGUGACCGGCUUGCACCCUCCGCGUAGCUCCUUCGACGAGUCGAGUUGUUUGGGAAUGCAGCUCUAAAUGGGAGGUAAAUUUCUUCUAAAGCUAAAUACCGGCCAGAGACCGAUAGCGCACAAGUAGAGUGAUCGAAAGAUGAAAAGCACUUUGGAAAGAGAGUUAAACAGCACGUGAAAUUGUUGAAAGGGAAGCGCCCGCAACCAGACUUUGCGGCGGCGUUCGCCCGGGGUUCUCCCCGGGUCACUCGCCGCCGCGAGGCCAUCAUCGUCCGGGACCGCUGGAUAAGACCCGAGGAAUGUGGCUUCCCUCGGGAAGUGUUAUAGCCUCGGGUGAUGCAGCGCGUCUCGGGCGAGGUCCGCGCCCCGGCAAGGAUGAUGGCGUAAUGGUUGUCGGCGGCCCGUCUUGAAACACGGACCAAGGAGUCUAACAUCUAUGCGAGUGUUCGGGUGUCAAACCCCUACGCGUAAUGAAAGUGAACGGAGGUGGGAGCUUCUCGCGCACCAUCGACCGAUCCUGAUGUCCUCGGAUGGAUUUGAGUAAGAGCAUAGCUGUUGGGACCCGAAAGAUGGUGAACUAUGCCUGAAUAGGGUGAAGCCAGAGGAAACUCUGGUGGAGG